GUGGGGAAUAUUGGACAAUGGGCGAAAGCCUGAUCCGGCCAUGCCGCGUGUGUGAAGAAGGUCUUCGGAUUGUAAAGCACUUUAAGUUGGGAGGAAGGGCAGUAAGUUAAUACCUUGCUGUUUUGACGUUACCGACAGAAUAAGCACCGGCUAACUUCGUGCCAGCAGCCGCGGUAAUACGAAGGGUGCAAGCGUUAAUCGGAAUUACUGGGCGUAAAGCGCGCGUAGGUGGUUUUGUAAGUUGGAGGUGAAAUCCCCGGGCUCAACCUGGGAACUGCUUUCAAAACUGCUGAGCUAGAGUACGGUAGAGGGUGGUGGAAUUUCCUGUGUAGCGGUGAAAUGCGUAGAUAUAGGAAGGAACACCAGUGGCGAAGGCGACUACCUGGACUGAUACUGACACUGAGGUGCGAAAGCGUGGGGAGCAAACAGGAUUAGAUACCCCGGUAGUCC
rnacentral:rRNA from 1 species